rnacentral:rRNA from 1 species
UUGAACGCUGGCGGCAGGCCUAACACAUGCAAGUCGAACGGUAACAGGAAACAGCUUGCUGUUUCGCUGACGAGUGGCGGACGGGUGAGUAAUGUCUGGGAAACUGCCUGAUGGAGUGGGAUAACUACUGGAAACGGUAGCUAAUACCGCAUAACGUCGCAAGACCAAAGAGGGGGACCCUCGGGCCUCUUGCCAUCGGAUGUGCCCAGAUGGGAUUAGCUUGUUGGUGGGGUAACGGCUCACCAAGGCGACGAUCCCUAGCUGGUCUGAGAGGAUGACCAGCCACACUGGAACUGAGACACGGUCCAGACUCCUACGGGAGGCAGCAGUGGGGAAUAUUGCACAAUGGGCGCAAGCCUGAUGCAGCCAUGCCGCGUGUAUGAAGAAGGCCUUCGGGUUGUAAAGUACUUUCAGCGGGGAGGAAGGGAGUAAAGUUAAUACCUUUGCUCAUUGACGUUACCCGCAGAAGAAGCACCGGCUAACUCCGUG